UACGUAGGUGGCAAGCGUUGUCCGGAAUUAUUGGGCGUAAAGCGCGCGCAGGCGGUCCUUUAAGUCUGAUGUGAAAGCCCACGGCUCAACCGUGGAGGGUCAUUGGAAACUGGGGGACUUGAGUACAGAAGAGAAGAGUGGAAUUCCACGUGUAGCGGUGAAAUGCGUAGAGAUGUGGAGGAACACCAGUGGCGAAGGCGACUCUUUGGUCUGUAACUGACGCUGAGGCGCGAAAGCGUGGGGAGCAACAGG
rnacentral:rRNA from 1 species